rnacentral:ncRNA from 1 species
UGCAGGUGUAAGUCCUGCCGAGGCAAUUGGCGGUACAGCCUCGUAGCCACGGGUGGGCGGCUUUCGGGUAACCGGGGUCGUCAAGCCACCCGACAGAAGCCCUCUUCGGGAGGGCCAGCAAAUCUACGGGCCGUAACA